UCUCCGAUGGUGUAAUUGGGUAGCAUCCCCGCUUGUCUCGCGGGGGGUCAACGUUCAAGUCGUUGUCGGGGAG